rnacentral:lncRNA from 1 species
GCAUUUGGUGCACUAUAGCGCUUGCAUUAUUGAAUGGAAGUUGGGAAAAAUCCACUGUUUUUCGUGUUCUUGCAUGCAUGUGGCUAGGGUUUCUUGUUUCAUGAAGAAGACGAUGAUGUGUCAUCAUAGGAACCAUUAGAUCCAAGGCGCAUGUUGUAAUUUGGACCGUGCAUACUGUUUUUGUCUUCUAGUCACUUAACCCCACACUUCAUGGCCCAUCAACACUAGUCACUCUCUUUUCAUUUCAUUUUUUUUAAUUCUUAUUUUUAUUUCUGUUUUGCUUUUAAUUAUUUUAAAAUAUUUCCUUUGUCCAUAAAAAUGUCAAAAAAUAUUUUCCAUAUUUCUUAAUGUCUUAUUUAAUUUAAUUUUAUUUUUAUUUUCGUAUUUAUUUAAUAUUAAUAUUUUAUUUUAAUUAUUCUUUCUAAAUGGUCCAUUUUAACACACUUUUUUUCCUUAAUUUUAUUUUCAUGUCUUCAAAUUAUUUUUAGCUUUUGAUUUUUGGGAUAAAGGUUGAACACUGUCUCAUGGUCAACCUGACCUUUUCUUGGAAUUUUAUUUCCCAUUUUCAAUUUAUUUUGGAUUUAUUUUUGACCUAGUCUUGUUGUUUGAAUUUUAAUUUGACCUCUGUUUUAUUUCAAUUAAUUUAUGCACCAAUUUUCACUAUUUUUAAAAUCGUUUUGG